rnacentral:rRNA from 1 species
GACAGAGGGUGCGAACGUUGUUCGGAAUUACUGGGCGUAAAGCGCGCGUAGGCGGCUUUUCAAGUCGAUUGUGAAAUCCCCGGGCUUAACCUGGGAACUGCAGUCGAGACUGUCUAGCUAGAGUAUGGGAGAGGGAAGUGGAAUUUCAGGUGUAGCGGUGAAAUGCGUAGAUAUCUGAAGGAACAUCAGUGGCGAAAGCGACUUCCUGGACCAAUACUGACGCUCAUGUGCGAAAGCGUGGGGAGCAAACAGG